CAAAGUCAUUCCCAGGACUCUGUUUUUGAACUCUGCACAAACCGGACAUCGCAACAGGACAAGUUCCUCACAUAGUUGAAUCCAAGUAUAGAAAGAUAAAUGUUAAAGACGCAUGUCUUCUUGUUAGCUUUGCAUUUGGACGCCGUUUGCAGAAUUGAUGAAGAGAAGCGGAAUGCUUAUAACCGAGUUACUGGCGAAGAAGACGAUAACGACGAUGCGUGAGAGCCGAAAAAAGACGAGCCUAGAAAUGUGUUGAUCUGUUUUGUGAUUUUGACGAUGAACCCAAUUUGUAAAUAGACGUUUUUACAUACCAUUAGAAAGAAAAUUACAUCGUUAAAGAACACCUCUUCCUUUUUCUAUCAUAAGAAAUAUAGGCCACCUUUAUUAUAAGCAGAUAAAAAAUAAAUAAUGUUGAGAAAACUCGUGUCCGUAUAGCUAUUUUGUAGUAAUUUAUGCAAUCUUUUUGGCCAUUCAGAGCGCGCGGAUUGUACAACCCGAUAACAAGAUAUGCGUCGAGACUCCUGACUAGGGCGUUUUAUGAGACGUGUAUAUGUUCAAAAAGAUGUUCCCGUGAACUGCAAAGUCCAGUCUGAAUAUACACAAGACUUUCUCUUUAAUCUACCUUCGAUGAUUGUUCUUAAAGCUAUUGUGACUUCUCUGUCCUUUUUUAUUAAAAAGAUUUUGUAUGAAGUGAGUUUUUUUAUUUUUUAAGUGUUGUAUGCAGAUUCUUUUCUCUCCUCUGCACCUCUGCAUGUUUCCUUUUCGCGUUUGAUAACCCAAUUAUUUUUUUUCUUUUGUUUCCCAAUAUACACAAAAUACUAUAUAAUAUACUAUAUAUAACAGCCCGUUCUCAAAUAUUUCUUUAUUGGUAGCUACGUUAGGUGUGUAUUAUAAACGUGAAAUAAGUUUGUCUUGUUGUGGUAAUAAGACGAGCUUGUUGCAAAAAGUUUUAAAAAUCUCCAACAGUAAACAAACUUAGAGAGAAGGGUAGUUAUUUGUAUGCAUACCAUGCAUAUUUGCAGAAAUACUUAAUUUUUUGGUUAUUUGACUUGGCUUAGUUUUCCUUGAAUUGUUCCAGUGCUAUUUAAUUUGGUUGCAUAGCUCUGUUACUGUUACUCAUAAUACGUAAAUAUAUAUGUAUCCCAAAUAUAUGUUUUUAUAACAUUUAAAACUGAGCAUUUCACUUUGAAGAAAAAAUUAUUUAAAAGCAGAAGUUUAUUUUAAGUAUGCCUUUUACCUUAGAGGAAGAAAUACAUUUUAUAUUUAUCUCCAAGCUUUCACCUAUACGCGAAAUUCCAAAUUUUGUUUUUGAACACUUUUGCCAACCUCGUCCCCAGGGCAUCUUGUAUCUUUUCUGACCCUGGGACGGCGAUACGAACAUGGCCCUGGAGGAGGCCUCGUCACGUGACCCUCCAAUACACAGUUUUUCUGUGUGUAAUAUUUAAUGAGAUUUGUCUCAAUUAACCAAAGUUUUAUAUAUAACCUUGCAAAGCUAAGCGAGCUAGGCGUUUUACGUCACAGAUACGUGCGGCGAGUUUGUUAUGAUUCCUCUCAUAUACGCAACACACAAACUGCUCGCAUAUUACUACCCUUGAUUGUUUUCUAAAUGUAUAAAUAUACAAUCAUGUUAUUUAGGCUGCUGCUUACUUGAAGAAAAUCAAACAAUUUAGUUAUGUGUAUUUUACUGAAUUGGUUGGCUAGCAAGCACUGGGUUGCAAAACGUGUAGCCAGGGAAAACUUGGAAAUUGGUAAAAGGUUUGCCCACCUGACCAUAGCACUUCGUUAGCUCUCUAAGGUGUAAAUAUGGCUACAUAAUUUUCAAGGUGCCUGACUGAAAGUAGCUAGGCAGAAAUUUAACUUCAUAUUAACAUUUACAUUUUUUAUUCAUUUUUGGCUGAACUUUAGAAUUCUCAUUUACUAUAAGUUCAUAUCUGUAUCUGCAUUACCGCUUUUAUAUGAUGACCAAGAUUUUGCUGUACGAAUCUCAAAGUUGCUUAUUUAUUAUUUUUUUGAACAAAAUUGAUUUAAACAAUAGUUAACUGAAACUGAAUUCGUAUAUGGUGGACUCACUGCUUGCACUUAUACUGGGUGAAAAAGGCUUCAAAAAACUAUAUACUUUAGAAGUCUUUUUUGCUUUUAGAUUUUGUGCCCUUAACAUUUCCAAAAAGCCAUCCAUUACUGAUAAAUUCUGCUUUUUCUUUUCCUAAUGAUAUGUUUUUAAAACGCCGUACAGCCUUUUUUUUUUUU